rnacentral:rRNA from 1 species
UAACGCGUGGGUAACCUGCCUCAUACAGGGGGAUAACAGUUAGAAAUGACUGCUAAUACCGCAUAAGCGCACAGGACCGCAUGGUCCGGUGUGAAAAACUCCGGUGGUAUGAGAUGGACCCGCGUCUGAUUAGCUGGUUGGUGAGGUAACGGCCCACCAAGGCGACGAUCAGUAGCCGACCUGAGAGGGUGGCCGGCCACAUUGGGACUGAGACACGGCCCAAACUCCUACGGGAGGCAGCAGUGGGGAAUAUUGCGCAAUGGGGGAAACCCUGAUGCAGCAACGCCGCGUGAGUGAAGAAGUAUUUCGGUAUGUAAAGCUCUAUCAGCAGGGAAGAGAAUGACGGUACCUGACUAAGAAGCCCCGGCUAACUACGUGCCAGCAGCCGCGGUAAUACGUAGGGGGCAAGCGUUAUCCGGAUUUACUGGGUGUAAAGGGAGCGUAGACGGCUGUACAAGUCUGAAGUGAAAGCCCGUGGCUCAACCGCGGAACUGCUUUGGAAACUGUAAAGCUGGAGUACUGGAGAGGCAGGCGGAAUUCCUAGUGUAGCGGUGAAAUGCGUAGAUAUUAGGAGGAACACCAGUGGCGAAGGCGGCCUGCUGGACAGAAACUGACGUUGAGGCUCGAAAGCGUGGGGAGCAAACAGGAUUAGAUACCCUGGUAGUCCACGCGGUAAACGAUGAAUGCUAGGUGU